rnacentral:tRNA from 1 species
GCGUUCGUGGCGUAACGGUUAUCGCGUGUGCCCUCCGCGCAGAAAGCCAGGGUUCGAUUCCCGGCCGCGAGGACGCA